UCAUGCCACCUGGGGCCGCGCGCGAUCUCUGGAAGCGAGCGAGGCGAGGAAGAAGGAGAAGAAGCGGCGAAGGCGAUCGCAGAGAGAUCGAGAGAUAGAGAGAUAGCGCGAUGGGGGUGAUGGAGAAGCUGAAGAUAUUCGUGGUCCAAGAGCCCGUCGUCGCCGCCUCCUGCCUCAUCGCCGGAGUCGGUCUCUUCCUUCCAGCUGUGGUCAGGCCUAUCUUGGAUUCCUUUGAGUCAGCCAAGCAAGUUCCACAACCUGCUCUAAGUGAUGUGGUUGCUGGUAUGACUGGCAAAAAACCGGAGUGAACUGGAUUUGUUUUGGUGUUCACAUGUGGCCCCAUUCUCUCUCUUUUUAUUUCCCAUUCAGCCUGUGAGACAUUUUGAUCACCAGAGCAAUGUACUUCUGUUUCUUCGAUAUUGCAUACUUUGGGACUUAGGUGCAGACUAUGUAUCUGCUUCAGCUGAUGGUUUGCUGGUCUGCAUCUCAUGAUUCCAACUGUAGAACUGGAAAGGAUCUGUUUACAUAAAAGAAAAAUUUGACAAAACAUUGAGAAAAUUUUGUUUUGGUACUAUUUAUGCAGUCACUGAAGAUGAGAUAUGG